AACGAACUCCAGGUUCAGAAAGCCCACCAGUAAUAGGGUUUAGUUGGCCUGGUGUUUAAUUUCCAGUAAUGUAUUGGCUAUGUCUGUGAAGCUUGUCCUAGUCAUUGUUAUAUAGUUCCUCUCUGUUCGUCAGUCUCGUUCUGUCCUGUCCUGUUUUAUAUUCGUUAUCCGUCCAUUCUCAAAUCGCGUGGAAUGUUUUCGGUAGUUUUGUUUAUGUAACCUUUCUGUCAGUGCUCCUCACCCCAAUCAACAUCAUAUUCUGUUAGUAAUUAAAAUAAUUAUCACCAUUGUUCAUCACUGUUCCGCAGAUAUGGGAAGAGUAUGCGCGACUGAAGUCGGACGCUCGGGGCGGCAAGGCCGUCCAGGCUGAUGCACUACGGGAGCUCAAAAAAGUUCUUCGCAACGUACCCGGCCACGACGCCGAAGGUCUGGUGGCCUCCCUGAAGGAACUGGAAACAGUUUUUGUAGAAGAGGAAGGACAUCAUACAUACCCCGUGAUCGUGCGGCGGGGUGGUAGUGCUGCCCUCUUCGUGGAGGGGGUGCACUGCGCCGCCCUCAGUGGGAGCGAGGAGCUCCAGCUCCUCACGUGGGCGGUAUCGUUUUCCGUGUUCUGCCAGCCGCUCUACUACCUUGGCAUCAAGAACACGGCCACUUUCCUGGCGGUAUACGUAGUACAUUCCGACGUUAAGAAGGAUGUUCCGACGGCGCUCCAGGCCGUGCUCACUAAACUUCUCCCAGCCGGCGAGCUGCAGCACUGAGCGAGAGAGAGAGAGGUCCUGGUUUCCGACUCAUUCGCCGGUUUUUCAUUGACUGCGGUCGAACUGGACGAGGGCGUGGUCCUGUCACGCCCCACUGCCACAUCGCCUGCCCAUUAUUCGCCCUUCAUGGGAGCCACGGACGUUGCUUUGAUGGCGGUGUAUAUGUGACAGGGCCCACUGCCACAUCGCCUGCCCCUUAUUCGCCCUUCAUGGGAGCCUAGACACGGACGUUGCUUUGAUGGUGGUGUAUAUGUGACAGGGGACUUUGUUUAAGUGUUUAAGAGGGUUACGUUUUUGCAGCGCUAAAACUAGAAAAAAAACUGGAUCCCUGAAGUAAGGGAACGAAUGGUACGAGAAGGCGUCAAUGAUUGUGCACUGUGACUGUGCAGUGAAUAGAAAAAUAGAAAGCGCAUGCUUCUGUUAUGUGUUAUAUUUCGUGUUGUAUUUCGGGGAAAUAUAUCCGUACUGACCGGGUAA